rnacentral:rRNA from 1 species
GAUGAACGCUGGCGGCGUGCUUAACACAUGCAAGUCGAACGAAGCACUUUAAUUGAUUUCUUCGGAAUGAAGUUUUUGUGACUGAGUGGCGGACGGGUGAGUAACGCGUGGGUAACCUGCCUCAUACAGGGGGAUAACAGUUGGAAACGACUGCUAAUACCGCAUAAGCGCACAGGAUUGCAUGAUCCAGUGUGAAAAACUCCGGUGGUAUGAGAUGGACCCGCGUCUGAUUAGCCAGUUGGCGGGGUAACGGCCCACCAAAGCGACGAUCAGUAGCCGACCUGAGAGGGUGACCGGCCACAUUGGGACUGAGACACGGCCCAAACUCCUACGGGAGGCAGCAGUGGGGAAUAUUGCACAAUGGGGGAAACCCUGAUGCAGCGACGCCGCGUGAGCGAAGAAGUAUUUCGGUAUGUAAAGCUCUAUCAGCAGGGAAGAAGAAUGACGGUA